GCAUGGGUGGUCGAGCGGUCAAAGGCAACGGGCUGUAAACCCGUCGGGUUAAUUCCCUACGUAGGUUCGAAUCCUACCCCAUGCACCA
rnacentral:tRNA from 1 species